rnacentral:rRNA from 1 species
UCGGGAAUUUUGGGCAAUGGGCGGAAGCCUGACCCAGCAACGCCGCGUGAAGGAUGAAAUUUUUCGGAAUGUAAACUUCGCAAGAAUGGGAAGAAUAAGUUCAGGCUAAUACCCUGAAUGAUGACGGUACCAUUUGUAAGCUCCGGCUAACUCCGUGCCAGCAGCCGCGGUAAUACGGGGGGAGCAAGCGUUGUUCGGAUUUACUGGGCGUAAAGGGCGCGUAGGCGGCGUGGUAAGUCACUUGUGAAAUCUCCGGGCUUAACUCGGAACGGUCAAGUGAUACUGCUGUGCUAGAGUGCGGAAGGGGCAACUGGAAUUCUUGGUGUAGCGGUGAAAUGCGUAGAUAUCAAGAGGAACACCUGCGGCGAAGGCGGGUUGCUGGGCCGACACUGACGCUGAGGCGCGAAAGCUAGGGGAGCGAACGG